GACGAACCGUGCGAACGUUGUUCGGAUUCACUGGGCUUAAAGGGCGCGUAGGCGGCUCGCGUAGUCGGGGGUGAAAUCUUUCCGCUCAACGGGAAAAUGGCCUCCGAUACUGGCGGGCUGGAGGAGGGUAGGGGCGCGCGGAACUUCCGGUGGAGCGGUGAAAUGCGUAGAUAUCGGAAGGAACGCCGGUGGCGAAAGCGGCGCGCUGGACCCUUUCUGACGCUGAGGCGCGAAAGCCAGGGGAGCAAACGGG
rnacentral:rRNA from 1 species